GGCGCAUGCCUAGUUGAAAUGUUAGUGGUCCUAAACAGUCUUAACCGGCUCAAGCUGGAGCUGAGCGCUGCUGACUCCAAGUUUCCGAAAAACAACUUAUUGUUUAGGCUGUGUGACAUUUGGAAGACAGGUCAUCAAAGUAAGCAUCUUUGAAGGAGUGACAAGCAAAAUACAGCUGCAGGAUCAGUGACUCACGGUUAAUCAGCUUUGCCUUCUGUCAUUGUUGACUGCUGGAGGUGGUGAUCCAUGUCAGUCACUGAAACAGCACCUUGGCAAGACUGCAGUCUGCUAGUGGAGUUUUUGUGUAUGGGAACACUUUUAGAUAAUGAGAUUUUCAUCUAACCUGAGCACAACACUCAGUGCCUGGAACAUAGUCCAUCAGAGCCUCAGAAAAUCCAGCAAAACCAGUCUCAGGUGAACCCAGCGAAGGCACAAACAGGACAGUGAGAAAAAUUUUUCCACAUGUAACAGUAAAAUGGCCUAAUCCAUUUAAAGUAGGAUGUGGUUUCUCACUGCUAAUGACUACUGCCAAGAUGUAUAAAUGGAAUGGUUCAGCUAAGAGAAGAAUCUAUCUGAGCUUGCCAUGUUGGAGGUAUUUUGUGUACAAUGGAAGAAGGAUCAAACUGGGGACCAGACCAUAUAGAUGCCAUCCCAUUGGCCACUAAUAAGUUGAUACCUUCCGGUAAAGUUUCCUGUGUGCCGCCGGAGUGCUCACCUCCACCACCCACAGCAGUUUCUUGAUCUGAAUUAGGUUUCAUAGAGUGGGGGUCAUGGGAGUUUGUUUCAACAUCUGAGAAUGCAGUAAAGUCCCAAUUUUUGAAUUCAUAGAUUCUCAUCAUUGCCAAAAAAAAAAAAGUUUUCAUAAGAGAAAACAAAAAUCCAUAGAACUUAAAUAGAUGAGUUCAAAUCCUUAAGUUGGAAGAGACAUUUAUUCUGACUUCGUGAUUUUACAAAUGAGGAAACAGAAACCGAGAAAAGGUAAAUAACUUGCUAAAGGUAGAAUCACAAGGUGAACAUGGGGCUUCCUGACUUUUAGUUAUUUGACCUGUUAGUUUGACUUCACUAAACAAAACUAUCACUUUAAUAUUAAGCACCUGAAGGUCAUAUUGAAUAAAGUUGGUAAAAAC